rnacentral:misc_RNA from 1 species
AGCUGCUCUCCAUAUUGCUUCUAACCCUGUGUUUCAUGAAUGGACUAAGCAUAUUGAGAUUGAUUGUCAUUUUGUCUGUGAAAAGCUUCAAUAAGGGAUCAUCUCAACACAACACAUCGAAAUUGGAGAGCAAUUGGGAGAUAUGUUUACAAAAACUCUAAAUGGAGCUCGCGUUGAUUAUAUUUGUAACAAGUUGGGCAUGAUU